AAAAGGCCUGGUCGAAGCUGCGUUCCACUGUUAAUGUUUAACUGCAGUCAAAACAUGGCCAAUAUUAAAGUUCUCUCAUUGGUCACUGAUUUGGUGAUUGUACCAUAUCAGUAUUACCCAGGGAUGAAGACAAAA